rnacentral:rRNA from 1 species
UACAGGGGGUGCAAACGUUGCUCGGAUUUAUUGGGCGUAAAGCGCGCGUAGGCGGCUACUUAAGUCGGAUGUGAAAGCCCUUGGCUCAACUGAGGAAGUGCACCCGAAACUGAGUGGCUAGAGUACGAAAGAGGGUCGCGGAAUUCCCGGUGUAGAGGUGAAAUUCGUAGAUAUCGGGAGGAACACCGGUGGCGAAGGCGGCGACCUGGGUCGAUACUGACGCUGAUGCGCGAAAGCGUGGGGAGCAAACAGG